AAGUCGUAACAAGGUUUCCGUAGGUGAACCUGCGGAAGGAUCAUUAAAAAUAUCAGUAUUUGGCGCUUUAAGCCAACGUGAUGCCAAGUGCGUUCCUCGCUCUAGAAAGACGCUCGAAUGUUGUGGCCGGUGCAGCUGCUUUCAAGAACCUUAUGUUACUUUGGAAGUUGGCGCGGACCCAGGAUGGCUGUCCACGAGGGGUGUCAGUACCAAGCUCGUAAGUUGAGCCGAUCACUGAUUAUGCGGUUGCUCGUUCACCGAACGUGCAAUUGUACAUAUUCUGGUGAGUUCGUGCAAUUGAUCGUUUGGAACCCUCGUGCCACCCUGUAACACUGUGAUCCUCCCCUGCUAACGGGGACACCGGUUGUUUCAUUCCGAGUCGAAGCUAGACGUCAAACGUCACACAUGGAACACGUCAUCUCAAACCAUUGUGAACUUCCUGUUGCUUCGGCGGCAUGCUUCAUGCUGUCAGUCCGUCCGAGGCUCACCGCAAACCAAUUUCUGUAAACUUCUGUCAGUAUACGAAAAGUAAAUCGUUAAAACUUUCAACAACGGAUCUCUUGGUUCUCGCAUCGAUGAAGAACGCAGCGAAACGCGAUAGGUAAUGUGAAUUGCAGAAUUCAGUGAAUCAUCGAAUCUUUGAACGCACAUUGCGCCUCCUGGUAUUCCGGGGGGCAUGUCUGUUUGAGCGUCAGUACCCACUCUGUCGAAACUUUUUCGUCAGGUCUUGAGGGACGCGUGUCCUUUCAAUGUAGACGCUUGCGAACCCGACACCGAUCCAUGACGUAGUAAUUAAAAUUUCGUCCUGUCAAAGUCGACGGCCCGCCUGAACAUCAAACCUUUGCAGUUUGACCUCAGAUCAGACAAGGAUACCCGCUGAACUUAAGCAUAUCAAUAAGCGGAGGAAAAGAAACCAGCAGGGAUUGCCUCAGUAACGGCGAGUGAAGCGGCAAGAGCUCAAAUUUGAAAUCUGAUACCUUCGGUGUCCGAGUUGUAAUUUGAAGAGGAGUCUUCGGUUUGGGUCGUGGCCUAUGUUCCUUGGAACAGGACGUCGUAGAGGGUGAGAAUCCCGUACACGGCUGACGAUCUCUCGCCAUGUGAAGUUCCUUCGAAGAGUCGAGUUGUUUGGGAAUGCAGCUCUAAAUGGGUGGUAAAUUUCAUCUAAAGCUAAAUACCGGCGAGAGACCGAUAGCGCACAAGUAGAGUGAUCGAAAGAUGAAAAGCACUUUGAAAAGAGAGUUAAACAGUACGUGAAAUUGUUGAAAGGGAAGCGCUUGCAAUCAGACUUGCCUUUGGUCGAUCAACGUUCCUUCUGGUUCGUGCACUCGGCCUUCGGCAGGCCAGCAUCGGUUCGGACGGUGGGAUAAAGGCCUUGGGAAUGUGGCUCUCUUCGGGGAGUGUUAUAGCCCGAGGUGCAAUGCCGCCUGCCCGGAUCGAGGACCGCGCUUCGGCUAGGAUGCUGGCGUAAUGGUUGUAAGCGACC
rnacentral:rRNA from 1 species